GUGGGGAAUUUUGGACAAUGGGCGCAAGCCUGAUCCAGCAAUGCCGCGUGCAGGAAGAAGGCCUUCGGGUUGUAAACUGCUUUUGUCAGGGAAGAAAUCUUCUGGGCUAAUACCCCGGGAGGAUGACGGUACCUGAAGAAUAAGCACCGGCUAACUACGUGCCAGCAGCCGCGGUAAUACGUAGGGUGCGAGCGUUAAUCGGAAUUACUGGGCGUAAAGCGUGCGCAGGCGGUUUUGUAAGACAGGCGUGAAAUCCCCGGGCUCAACCUGGGAAUUGCGAUUGUGACUGCAAGGGUGGAGUGCGGCAGAGGGGGAUGGAAUUCCGCGUGUAGCAGUGAAAUGCGUAGAUAUGCGGAGGAACACCGAUGGCGAAGGCAAUCCCCUGGGCCUGCACUGACGCUCAUGCACGAAAGCGUGGGGAGCAAACAGGAUUAGAUACCCCAGUAGUCC
rnacentral:rRNA from 1 species